UCUGAAAUAAAACCCUAAGCUUCAUUUUCUCUCCUUUUUCCCCACUCAGCCUCCAAGUUCAGACCACCGUCGCUGCCACCUUGGCCAGUGGCCGGAGUUGCCGCGAGAAGGGCCUCUCGGCCUUCCCUUCACGGCGUCCUUGAAGGCUAGGCCCUCUCGACCGCGGCACCAAGAGAAAAAGGAAGAGACGCCCCUCCCCGCUCAAUUCCGAUGACGGCGAAGGAGGGCUCCGACUCCGGCCUUCGAAACCAACAGGCAUUUAAUGGGCAUGGUGGUGGGUCGGUGGCAGAGAUUGAGGUGACAAGGCGAAUGGCGGUGGUAGGUGGUGGCAGAGUACGGCGUACAUGGGGUUAGGGGGAUUAGGGUUUUCUGAUAGCUUUAGGUUAUGGCCUUCGAAACCAACAGGCAUUUAAUGGGCAUGGUGGUGGGUCGGUGGCAGAGAGUUGAGGUGACAAGGCGAAUGGCGGUGGUAGGUGGUGGCAGAGUACGGCGCACAUGGGGUUAGGGGGAUUAGGGUUUUCUGAUAGCUUUAGGUUAUUGGGUCAUUGGGUUGUUUGGGCCAGUUGUAUUGGGCCAUUUGGGUUAGUUUUGGGGUAUGAUUAAUUUGAGUUUUGGGUCUCUGGUUGUUGGGCCCUGGCAUAAAUUGGUCUGUACACCCAUCUCUUAACAUACUCUUUACCUGGCUAUUGUUUUCCGCAUCAUUUCCUUCUACUCUUCCGUACAACUUUUUUGCAUCAAA